rnacentral:lncRNA from 1 species
GAUGGUUUUGGGUCUGGCUUUGGAGAUGGAGCAGGGGCUGGUGUGGUUUGGUUGAAGGCUUUUGGUGGUUGCGGUGGGCAUGGAGACGGACCAGGGGCUGGUGGUGGCUUUGGUUGAGGCUUAGGUGGUGUUGGUGGGCAUGGAGAUGGACCAGGGGGUGGUGGAGGCUUUGGCUGAGGCUUAGGUGGUGUUGGUGGGCAUGGAGAUGGGGCAGGUGGUGGACCAGGCUUUGGUGAUGGGCCUGGUGGUGGGCGAGGUUGUGGUGGGUCCAACGGCCACGGUUGUGGCUGGAACCCUGGAAAUGGCCAAGGCCUUGAUGGCCACGGCCAGAGCC